UACGGAAGGCAGCAGUGGGGAAUAUUGCACAAUGGGCGCAAGCCUGAUGCAGCCAUGCCGCGUGUAUGAAGAAGGCCUUCGGGUUGUAAAGUACUUUCAGUCGUGAGGAAGGUGUUAAGGUUAAUAACCUUAGCAAUUGACGUUAGCGACAGAAGAAGCACCGGCUAACUCCGUGCCAGCAGCCGCGGUAAUACGGAGGGUGCGAGCGUUAAUCGGAAUUACUGGGCGUAAAGGGCACGCAGGCGGUUAAUUAAGUUGGAUGUGAAAUCCCCGGGCUUAACCUGGGAAUGGCAUUCAAGACUGGUUAGCUAGAGUCUUGUAGAGGGGGUAGAAUUCCGAUGUGUAGCGGUGAAAUGCGUAGAGAUGUGGAGGAAUACCGGUGGCGAAGGCGGCCCCUGGACAAAGACUGACGCUCAUGUGCGAAAGCGUGGGGAGCGAAACAGGGAUUAGAU
rnacentral:rRNA from 1 species